rnacentral:rRNA from 1 species
AAAGUUGUUGCAGUUAAAAAGCUCGUAGUUGGAUUUCGGGACGGCACGGUCGGUCCGCCGCAAGGUGUGUCACUGGCCGGGCUGUUCUUCCUCGCAAAGACUGCGUGUGCUCUUAGCUGAGUGUGCGCAGGACUUGCGACGUUUACUUUGAAAAAAUUAGAGUGUUCAAAGCAGGCCAUCGCUUGAAUACAUAAGCAUGGAAUAAUGGAAUAGGACUUUGGUUCUAUUUUGUUUGUUUCUGGAACCGAAGUAAUGAUUAAGAGGGACAGUUGGGGGCAUUCGUAUUUCGUUGUCAGAGGUGAUAUUCUUGGAUUUACGAAAGACGAACUACUGCGAAAGCAUUUGCCAAGAAUGUUUUCAUUAAUCAAGAACGAAAGUUAGAGGAUCGAAGACGAUCAGAUACCGUCCUAGUUCUAACCAUAAACGAUGCCGACUAGGGAUCAGAGAGUGUUAUUGGAUGACCUCUUUGGCACCUUAUGGGAAACCAAAGUUUUUGGGUUCC